rnacentral:rRNA from 1 species
CGGUGGAUGAUGUGGUUUAAUUCGAUGCAACGACGAAAACCUUACCCACCUUUGACAUGGCAGGAAUCCCGAAGAGAUUGGGAGUGCUCGAAAGAGAACCUGCACACAGGUGCUGCAUGGCUGUCGUCAGCUCGUGUCGUGAGAUGUUGGGUUAAGUCCCGCAACGAGCGCAACCCUUGCCAUUAGUUGCUACGAAAGGGCACUCUAAUGGGACUGCCGGUGACAAACCGGAGGAAGGUGGGGAUGACGUCAAGUCCUCAUGGCCCUUAUAGGUGGGGCUACACACGUCAUACAAUGGCCGGUACAGAGGGUAGCCAACCCGCGAGGGGGAGCCAAUCCCACAAAGCCGGUCGUAGUCCGGAUCGCAGUCUGCAACUCGACUGCGUGAAGUCGGAAUCGCUAGUAAUCGCGGAUCAGCAUGUCGCGGUGAAUACGUUCCCGGGUCUU